rnacentral:tRNA from 1 species
GAGGGGUGUAUAAACUUAUCGCUGCUAACGAUAAUGGGAGUUGUUUAUUUAACUCGCCCCUUU